CCCUUCCUGUCGCCGUGGCGCGCGCGUUCCUUCUCACGACGUUGACGCCGGCAUCAAUUGAAGUCGCUCAACGGCUGCAGAAGAAGCCGGCUUGCUCUGGUUGCUCUUGGCUGACGGACGAAACUGACGAAGUGAACGGGGAAAGCUUCAGAGUUGCCUGACACAAGACGUCUGCGGCAACAGAGUAUCCUCUGAAUCAUUCAUGUUUGCCCGUGAAAAACAAAUAAGCAUUUCUCAGCUUCCACCAAAGGCCCAGGGAAUCCAAAAUCCUAGCCAAUAUCUGUGGCGUUGGCGGAUCAUGGAGUUCAGGAUUU
rnacentral:lncRNA from 1 species